rnacentral:rRNA from 1 species
GACGACGCUGCGCGGUGCUAACACAUGCAGUCGAACGGGCUGCUAGUGAGUGGAAGGUUUUCGGACAACUGAUUAGUAUGCCUAGUGGCGGACGGGUGAGUAACGCGUGAGUAACCUGCCUUUCAGAGGGGGACAACAGCUGGAAACGGCUGCUAAUACCGCAUAAUAUAUACAGGUCGCAUGACUUGUAUAUCAAAGAUUUAUCGCUGAAAGAUGGACUCGCGUCUGAUUAGCUAGUUGGCGGGGUAACGGCCCACCAAGGCGACGAUCAGUAGCCGGACUGAGAGGUUGAACGGCCACAUUGGGGACUGAGAUACGGCCCAG